UACGUAGGGGGCAAGCGUUAUCCGGAUUUACUGGGUGUAAAGGGAGCGUAGACGGCACGGCAAGCCAGAUGUGAAAGCCCGGGGCUCAACCCCGGGACUGCAUUUGGAACUGUUGGGCUAGAGUGUCGGAGAGGCAAGUGGAAUUCCUAGUGUAGCGGUGAAAUGCGUAGAUAUUAGGGGGAACACCAGUGGCGAAGGCGGCUUGCUGGACGAUGACUGACGUUGAGGCUCGAAAGCGUGGGGAGCAAACAGG
rnacentral:rRNA from 1 species